rnacentral:rRNA from 1 species
AGGACGAACGCUGGCGGCGUGCUUAACACAUGCAAGUCGAACGGUGAAGCCCUUCGGGGUGGAUCAGUGGCGAACUGGUGAGUAACACGUGAGCAAUCUGCCCUUGACUCUGGGAUAACUUCGGGAAACCGGAGCUAAUACCGGAUAUGACAUACGGCCGCAUGGUCUGUGUGUGGAAAGAUUUAUCGGUCAGGGAUGAGCUCGCGGCCUAUCAGCUUGUUGGUGGGUAAUGGCCUACCAAGGCGACGACGGGUA